rnacentral:piRNA from 1 species
UGACUACCACAAAGUAGAUGGACUCCAAG